GCGUCAGUAGCAGCGGGUUAGUGCACGUGCUCUCGGAUAGAAUGAGAUGUGGGUUCGAUUCCCGCCUGACGCG